UAAAUCAAAGCAUUGAGUACAGAAGUUGGGAUAUAAUGCUAAAGUUGUACAAGGCAUUGGUAAGGCCAAAUUUGGAAUAUUGUGUGCAGUUCUGGUCACCGAAUUAUAGGAAAGAUAUCAAUAAAUUAGAGAGAGUGCAGAGACGAUUUACUAGGAUGUUACCUGGGUUUCAGCAAUUAAGUUACAGAGAAAGGUUGAACAAGUUAGGUCUCUAUUCAUUGGAGCGUAGAAGGUUGAGGGGGGAUUUGAUCGAGGUAUUUAAAAUUUUGAGAGGGAUAGAUAGAGUUGACGUGAACAGGCUGUUUCCAUUGAGAGUAGGGGAGAUUCAAACUAGAGGACAUGAUUUGAGAGUUAGGGGGCAGAAGUUUAAGGGAAACACGAGGGGGUAUUUCUUUGCUCAAAGAGUGAUAGCUGUGUGGAAUGAGCUUCCUGUAGAAGUAGUAGAGGCCAGUUCAGUUGUGUCAUUUAAGGUAAAAUUGGAUAGGUAUAUGGACAGGAAAGGAGUGGAGGGUUAUGGGCUGAGUGCGGGUAGGUGGGACUAGGUGAGAUUAAGGGUUCGGCACGGACUAGGAGGGUCAAGAUGGCCUGUUUCCGUGCUGUGAUUGUUAUAUGGUUGUUAUAUGGUUAUUAGGCCUGGAAGACCAGCAUGCCUUCAGGGUUCCGGAUUUUCUGCAGGCAGGCGGAUUUGAGGUCAGUGCCGUCACCUGGUGUGUCGUGGAAGUACAUGGAAGAUCGAAAGCAGUGAGCUGGCUGCUGGCUGUGUGCCCAGAGACCUGAGAUUGGAAAAAGUGAUGCAGCGGACUUUUAACACCAUAAAUUGACAAGUUAGACCAUAAGCUUCUGCCUGUACACGAGCAGAUGGAGGAGUGGUCAGACAUCCCAAAUGGUGGAUGCAGGAGCUCUUUGGAAGCAUUGUGGAAAGGAGAAUAGCAGUGGUCGAGUAUGCUAUCUCCCCAUGUGCGCACCUGGAUAUGUUGACGAAACUUCAGAGAGACUUCAGUCAGCGACACCUGAUUAAAGUCUCCGGCUGUAAAAGCAGCCUCUGGGUGCUGAUGGUCUCAUAUGUUUUCUUGAGAGGCAGAUUACUAUCAGCCUGCGGCAGAAUAUACACAGCUGGGAUAAUAACAGCCAUGAACUCUCUAGGCUGCCAGAAUGGUCUACACAGCAGUACAAGGUACUCCAGAUCCGGGGAACAAAAGGAUUUGAGGGCAUGCAUGUUCUGGAGGUCUGCACCUCACUCUGGCAAAAAGUUGUGGAUCAAGUGCUGCAAGGUUGCCAAGGCACUCAAUGUAUCUAGAUGACAUCAUUGUUACCAGUAAGGAUGACAUGUCCAAACACAAAAGACUGUGUUAAAAAAGAUUAUGGGCUCAGAGCACGAUGAAACCAGUGUGAAUUAUUUAAACCAAGCAUCUCUUACUGUGGUCGCACCGUCGAUGCACAAGCAUUACACAAGUGUGCUGAGAAAAUUCAAACACUGAUGCACUCACCAAGGCGAAAGGACAUAUCACAGUUGCGGUCCAUUUUAUGACUUUCAAUUACUAUAACAGGUUCCUGUCAUACCUGGUUACUCUUGAAAUCAUUACUCCAGAUUGGAAAGAAAUGGCAGUGGACAAAUGGCAAGGAAAUAGUGAAGCCGUGUGAAGUAGCUUUUUAAUGGAUAAAGGAAAUGGUGAUGUCACACACUGUACUGACAUAUUAUGAUCCACAUCGUACAGUGAAACUCAACAUAUGUAUAGAUAUUCUGUAAGUGAGUUGGAAUUUAUAGCUAAGCUGGGAGGAGAGCUGUAAUAUUUGAGUUACUAAUAUUUGAGAGCUGUUCAUCGACUAUAGCUUAGCAUUUAAUACCAUUAUUCCCACAAUCCUGAAACGUCAACUGUUCUUCUUCCUAUAGAUGCUGCUUGGCCUGCUGCGUUCCACCAGCAUUUUGUGUGUGUUGUGUGGAUCAUCAGAGUCUCCCUCACCACUCUUCUUGACAUUUACUGGGAGUGUUGCAGACAAAGAGCCUAAAGGAUGUGUUGAGGAUCCGUACUAUACAUCCCAUAAUCUCUUUGACCCUCUAUCAUCAGGAAAGAGUUACAGAAUUGGGACUAGGACUGCGAAAUGGGUAGCAGCUUCUUCCCUCAUGUUUUCAGAUUCAUGAAUACCCUGCCACCAGUGAGGUCUCAUCACUAAGACAAAUUUUCCAGACUGUUGAAAAGGCUGUGAAUUAGAAGAUACCAUACGUGACUCUGCUUUCAACGAGGCAAGGAGGGAAAAGCAAACCACUGGUAAGACAUCACAGGAGAAUUAUGAAACAAAAUUGGAUACACAGACAUAAAAGAAGUGUUAUUAAGGUAAAUAAAAGGAGGCAUAAAUGUGGAGUAGUUUAGAAAAGGAUUUUUUGGGGCACUCUUAGGGUAUUGGAUAUUGGGUGAGGGUGACCAAAGCCUUAAGUCUAUCAACAGUGGUGGCACAAUUAACAAGUUAGCAUGCAAGGUGAAUGAAAGGAGAGAAAUGGAGGAAAGCUGGUAUCUUUGAGGUUGGACAGCUGGAGGAAAUAGAGAGAAGGACAGGGGUGAGGCUUUGGAAAUACUCGCAAAGAAUAUUAACGUUGAAAUGCACCUUAAUCAGAACCCAAAGUUGGGCAGCAAGCCACAAGGGUAACAAGUGAACAGAAUAAUGCAGAUUAGGACAGCAGCAAAGCUUUAGAUGACCUCACAUUUACAGAAGGUAAAAUGUAGGAAUCUGGCGAGGAUUACUAUGGAGUAGUCAUAUCUAAAAGAAAUCAGAACCUUGGAUACAGGUUUUGGCUGCCAGGAAAGGUUAUGGUAAUAAAACUAAAUUACCUUACUGAUGGUGGGGAAAUUUAGUUCAAAGCUCAUUAAUGGUUCAGAUAUGACAGAAGUUGCAAACAAAGUGGUUCAGCUUCAGACAAUUGACCAGCAGAGGAAUUAAAUCAGUGGCCAUGGCUGUGGUUUGUGCAGUGGACCAAGGACUUAAAUUAUCCCAGAAUCUAACUGAAGGAAAUAUCUGUUCAUCCAGUGCCAAAUGUCAGACAAGCUGAUGAGCAAUUAAGAAGCAGUAGAGGGAUGGAAAGCCUGUAAUUUCCUUUUAAAGGAAGUACUUUUGAAACAUCUGAGUGAACUGAUGAUUUUGAGAUCUCCUGGGGGUUUUAAUGAACUAGACCCUCGAGAAUGCAGGUAUGGCUGGAGUGGCCAUCGCUGGGUCAGAUGCUGCAUUAAGGCCAGACAGUGGAAGAUGAGCCCAUGCCAAUUAAAGUGUCGAGCAAGAUUAAAAUGAUUGAGGCUGAGAGUGGAAAAUAAACAGGUGUUCAGUGCCAUCUGCCUGCGAUUGACUGGUCUCCCUCUCUUCUCUCUAUUACCGUUGUGCGGGAGGUGCAGCUGUCUUGCGUCCCACCCCACCAGGCUCAGAUGCAGUUGUGGAACUGGGCUCCUGGACCGGCCUCACUCAGCAAUGAACUGGCUUUGCAGCUGUAGAUUCACCUUUGAUGACUCCACAGUUUAUGUUCUAUGUACAUUUUGUUUACUCAUUUUUAACUAUGUGUUGCGAUUUGUCCUCUUUUGCACGUUGGUUGUGUGAAAGUCAUGUGGGAUUUUUUGUGGUUUCUAUUGUGCUUCUUUGUUUUAUGGCUGCCUGCAAGAAGAUGAAUCUCAAGGUUAUUUAUCAAUACAUAAGUUGAUAAAAAAAAUAUUGAGCUUUGAACUUCAAAAGAAAGAGCAGUGAAGAGGAACUGUAUUCCAUCAGCCCUGAUGUGGAAGAUGAAGUUUACUGUUUUGGAUGAUUUCACAGUGAUUUAAUGUUUAUACACAGAGAGCAGUAGUUUUUUUGCUGUUGUAGUUUAAUAUUAGGGCAGAGGAGACGAGAACGAUCGAUUUCUUUGAAAAUCAAACACCUUGAAAAUUUGUAAUGAUCUCAGUAACUCCCACCAACAGUAUGAUUAUAUUUAUAGUGUGGUUUGCAUUGAGUGAAAUAUUAUUUUUUCUGUGACUUACAGGAACUCUUACUACAUAUCGGAGGUCCACUGCAUUCUUGGUUUAAUGCAGUCAGGUGUCAGAAGGCUGACCUCAUUCCCUUUUUAUUCCACCAAUUUCUGGCCAAUAUCUAUGUAAGAUAAUUUUAUAUCAAUGUGAAUUUUUGAAGAAAUACAGCUUAGGUUACAGCAUUAUUUUCAGCAAUAAUUUGACCAAUUGGCUGUCUGUCCACUUGGAGCGAUUCAGGGUGUAUUCUGAAGAAAUUAUAUCAAAAACGAGAGUCAUUAUUCUUCGUGUGAGUUACUCAAAACAAAAUAUCUUUGAAGCGCAUUCCAACUUCUGCUUCUUUGCCAAAUGUAUAUGGCAGGAGCUCAGGAAUACCAGUUUUGUUCUGUUUCCAGAAGUUUUUCCUUUACUGACAACUGAGGUGGCGGAGAAUGACGGAUGGCUUGCUGAAGCAAUUGAGACAUGUGAUUUGAACUGAAAUGCUAUUGUGCUGCAUGGUCUGAACUGCAAUAAUCUCACAUUUUGUUUCUCUGCUCCUUACAAAGCAGUAGUAUGAGCUGCAGGCAUUAUUAUGGGGAAGAGGAUGCUCUGAGCGACUCCUUUGUGCGGCAACAAAGUCUUGCUUUCAGUGAGUCCAGUGAUUGCAAUCAGUGGAAAAAAUACGAUGGACAUCUGCCAGGCAUCAGUCAAAGACUUGGACCAAGAGACUGCAGCUGCUGUUAGUAGAUAGGACAUUAAAAAGCAAUGAAGACCAACAUAAACUUACUGAGUCAACCUUCCUUGCUAUUACUCCUACUAGGUUAGAUCUAGCAUAUGGUUUCUCAUGUUUCUCCUAAACCAUUCAAUUUUUAUGUUAGUGAUGAAGUCAAAGAAUUUUGAAAUGUAUAUGUAGAUAAACUGGGGAAAUUUGGUCGUGACACUAGAGGAAAUUACGGGCAUAGGGAAUCGUGGAUCCUUGAAAGCAGAAGUUAUCUAAGUGUACUGUGGCAGGGCAUUGAUAAUGGGGUGUCAGGAUAUGUAAUACAAGGGGAUGGUGAUGACCUGAUCAUUGGGCUCUGAUUUUAUGAACGUACACUUGCUGAGGCCAAGGAAAAUAAAGCCUGAGCUUCUUGAAAAAAAAUGUGGUUUGGUAAAAGGUAUACCUGAAGUUUGUCAUUCCUCGAUCACAUCCUGCAACUGGAAUUCUUGAAGGCUGGGAGCCCCAGCCUCCCGAUAUCAUACAGCACGAAUGGUGGCACAUGACCUCUUUUUUUUUGUCUGACUUAGCAGUCAAUAGUUGGUUAGCCAGCUGCUACCCCCACCCCUGACCUGCCUCUGAUAAAACCUGUUCUAGUCUGCACCACUUGACUUUCUGUUGUCACACUUUUAUCAUGAUUCAAACAUUAAUCUUUUUUCCGUUAUAAUAUCUGCUUUCUAUAAUUACAACAUAUUUUGUAUGAAGUAAACUUGACACUCGUUGAUUGUUCAAUUUGCCUACAAAUUGCUGAAUCUACUAACUUCUUUGCUGCUCCUUAUUUUUCCUAGUGAUAUUCCUGACAACUAAUAUCAAACUGAAAAGAAAAGCAUAAUAGUUUUAUAUUUUAAAAUAUAAUAACAAAAUUAACUUCAACUGUUGAAUUAUUGUCUAUGACUUUUAAGCUGGAAUUAAAAAUCACUAUGCAUGAUGUGCAAAAUUGGCCUUCAGUACUGUGCAAGCUGUUUGGGGGCUAAUACAUUGUCCAAUGAAUGUGAUUUUUUUAUAUGCGGGUGAACUGCAGUGAAUGACAAACUGAAUAUCAAGUACCUUUUGAAAGUCUAUAAAUAAAAAA